AUGAAGGUCGAGCUGUGCAGUUUCAGCGGGUACAAGAUCUACCCGGGACACGGGCGGCGCUACGCCAGGACCGACGGGAAGGUUUUCCAGUUUCUUAAUGCAAAAUGUGAGUCAGCAUUCCUUUCCAAAAGGAAUCCUCGGCAGAUAAACUGGACUGUCCUCUACAGAAGGAAACACAAGAAAGGGCAGUCGGAAGAAAUU
rnacentral:lncRNA from 1 species